rnacentral:rRNA from 1 species
AAAACGACUCUCGGCAACGGAUAUCUCGGCUCUCGCAUCGAUGAAGAACGUAGCGAACUGCGAUACUUGGUGUGAAUUGCAGAAUCCCGUGAACCAUCGAGUCUUUGAACGCAAGUUGCGCCCGAAGCCAUCCGGCCAGGGCACGUCUGCCUGGGCGUCACGC